AUUGAACGCUGGCGGCAUGCCUUACACAUGCAAGUCGAACGGUAACGCGGGGCAACCUGGCGACGAGUGGCGAACGGGUGAGUAACGCAUCGGAACGUGCCCAGUAGUGGGGGGUAGCCCGGCGAAAGCCGGAUUAAUACCGCAUACGACCUACGGGAGAAAGGGGGGGAUCGCAAGACCUCUCGCUAUUGGAGCGGCCGAUGUGCGAUUAGGUAGUGGGUGGGGUAAAGGCCUACCAAGCCGACGAUCUGUAGCUGGUCUGAGAGGACGACCAGCAGCAGUGGGACUGAGAGACGGCCCAGCCUGCUAGGGGCGGAAGCAGUGGGGAAAUUUGGACAAUGGGCGGAAGCCUGAUCCAGUGCUGCAGGGUGCGGGAAGAAGGCCUUCGGGUUGGAAACCGCUAUUGUCAGGGAAGAAACGCGCUGGGUUAACACCACGGCGUAAUGACGGUACCUCAAGAAUAAGCACCGGCUAACUACGUGCCAGCAGCCGCCGCCGUAA
rnacentral:rRNA from 1 species